rnacentral:tRNA from 1 species
GUGACUGUGGCUCAGGGGUAGAGCUCUUGCCUAACAUGUAAGGCACUGGGUUCAAUUCUCAGAGCCACA